GACGAACGCUGGCGGCGUGCUUAACACAUGCAAGUCGAACGGAAAGGCCCCUUUUGGGGUACUCGAGUGGCGAACGGGCGAGUAACACGUGCGUAACCUGCCCUUGACUUCGGGUUAACUUCAGGAAACUGGGGCUAAUACCGGAUAGGAAUCCUUGCUGCAUGGUGGGGGUUGGAAAGCUUCGGCGGUUUUGGAUGGACUCGCGGCUUAUCAGCUUGUUGGUGGGGUAGUGGCUUACCAAGGGUUUGACGGGUAGCCGGCCUGGGAGGGCGACCGGCCACAUUGGGACUGAGAUACGGCCCAGACUCCUACGGGAGGGAGCAGUGGGGAAUAUUGCACAAUGGGCGGAAGCCUGAUGCAGCAACGCCGCGGGCGGGAUGACGGGCUUCGGGUUGGAAACCGCUUUCAGCAGGGGCGAAGCUUGUGGUGACGGUACCUGCAGAAGAAGCACCGGCUAACUACGUG
rnacentral:rRNA from 1 species